rnacentral:lncRNA from 1 species
GGACUAUCCCCUUAAUCGAUCCAAAUGAUAGGAGUUAAGGUCUAACCUCUUAGGAAAAAUAACAAAUAGUACGACUAAGGUCAAUCCUCUAAAUCAACUAACACAUUAAUAGGAUUAAGGUCCAGCCACUUCAAUCCAAGGUCAAAUAAUAUGAUUAAGGUCCAACCACUUUAAUCAAAUAGCAAAGAAUAGGAUUAAGGUCCAGCCACUUUAAUCCACAAGCAAAUAAUAGGAUUAAGGUCCAUCCUCUUUAAUCCAUAAGCAAAUAAUAGGAUUAAGGUCCAUCCUCUUUAAUCCAUAAGCAAAUAAUAGGAUUAAGGUCCAUCCUCUUUAAUCCAAUAACGAAUAAUAUGAUUAAGGUCAUACCCCUUAAUCAAGAGUAAUUAAUAGGAUUAAGGUCCAGCCACUUUAAUCCAGGGGUAAACAAUACGAUUAAGGUCCAUCCUCUCUAAUCGAUGGAUAAAUAAUAUGAUUAAGGACAAACCUCUUAAUCAAAGAAUAAUUAAUAGGAUUAAGGACAAGCCCCUUAAUCAAGUCAUGCAGGUAUGCAAGGGCUAGCAAACCACGAUUCGUCCUCACCCGGAUACGUGUCUAGCUAUGGUUCAUGUCUCUAUCGUUUUUCCCUAAGGUAAACGUCGGUCCAUUGACCAAUCACUUCACAACAAGGAGUAGCACCUGCACUUAAUGGCGGUUCUACUCAUAAAGGCUCCUCUUCAUGAUGUUCACAACUCGAAUCAUUAUCUUUCCUCGAACCUCAAAUAUUCGACCCUUCCCAUUUUCGAACUCAUUUCAUAUCCUAAGUUUUCCUCAAAAGGGGUCAUCUUCAUUAUUCAAAGUGUUCUAAUUUGAGUUAAUUCAUUAUGGAAUUUAUUCUCAAACAAAGUCUUAUGCAUUCAUUUAUUUCAAAGUCUAACAGAUUAAAGAUCCCCAAUGUCCUUGUUUAGGCGAAAGCCUCGAUCCUCCGUGUCAACCGUAGCACAGUCCUUUCGACAGAUCCUACUUGCUAACUCUCGUAACACUCCGCAUUCGAAGUCGAUAUAUCCAUAAGGUUUGGGCAUAAAACAAGAUUCAUGCACUUUUGCAAUUAAAAGGAAUAGAACAGGUCUAUCCACUAUAAAACAAUAAGACGGAAACCAGUAAACGGCCGAAGCCUCCAGAAAACGGAGACGCACGUCUCAAUCAGUUCACACGGCCGAAGCCUCUAGAAAACGUUUUCCCAGUCCAGUCCAACAGUCAUAAUCAAAAGCUGAUCAGACUUAUUAUCAAGAAGAUGAGAGUUUGAAAAAUUUACUGAUACGACCAAUGAAUCAUUUCCACCAUGACAGCUUCAACAUCUGCACUUGCUGAAGUGUUUCAAAGACCGGUCGUUACCAUCCAACAACCAGCAAGAUACGAUUGAGGUCUAUCCUCUCGAUCGAUUUACACACGCGGUAUAGGUUCAUCCACCAAACCGACAAUAGGCACAGUUAUGGUCCAUCCUCCCCAAAGGCCAACAAAAUACAAAUUAAACAAGUGUCAUGCCCAUACUGAAACACACUGAUCGGCGUCCCGUCCAGGUGAUCCGGAUGCACAUCACAAACUCAGACACAGGAAAACAAUGGACUUCGAGUUCAAGGAUUCAUUCCACCUAUUGACUCGCACGGUGGCCCAAUCCACCACCUCGCCCGCUCGAUGAAACCUGCCACCAUCGAAAUUGUCCGAUCUAUGGUACUAACACCGUAUAAGAUCGUUGGUUCCAGCCAACCAAAUCCCGCUUUUCCUGAUGGCCAUCCACCAUCUCGUUCUGAACAAUGGCCCCAUCCACCAUUCUUGUUCAACUGACGACUCCAUCCAGCGCUAGAUUGUUCGAUCUAUGGCACUAUCGCCGUAUAAGAUCGUCGGUUCAGUCCGCUUCUUGAUCUUACCAAUGGUUUGGUUCCACCAUCUUCCAUCCAUGAGGGUGAACACAACAUAUAACCACUAAGUAAAAAUUCAACGCAGGGAAAGUAUUGACUUGGCCAGUGUACUUCCCCAUCUAUGUGACUCAACAGCAAGUCUUCAACUCCACAAAAUGCAUCAUGCAUAAGUCUAGUUCCUUUCAAACGUAACGUAGAUUAUAAGAAAGUCUUUCCCAAAAGCAUCAACGGGGUCUACAUCUUCAGUCUAGUAGUUUCAUCGCAAAAGUAGUUCUAUUACGACAUAAGUGGUUCGAAAUAUAAUUACAGACAACUAACAAACAAGUUCAAAACAAAUGGUUCCAAGAAGUCCUCGUUCGAAUUCCACCAAUUCCUAGCUAGUUCCUUGCUCCGGCGGCUUUGUCCGCAUUCAAAUUGUAUACCCUUCCUCCAGUCGCAGGACGUUUCCCCCUUGCUGUGUUCACCGACGGUUCAGCCUUUGGCAUCUCGCAAUCCUUAGCUUGAUGGCCUGGUUGGUGGCACCUAAAGCAUCGCGUACUCCUGUUCUUGCACUUAUCAGCAAAAUGUCUAGCCUCCCCGCAUGCGAAACACACCACCUCACGCUUCGGAACUUGUCCUCUCUCUUCCCCCAAUGCAGUCACCAUCGGCUCGUGUUGUCCUGGUGCAGAAUUAUCCCCUGCAUAACGGUGAUAUGGCUUCCCCUGUCGCAACUUUCCCUUUUCUUGUUGAUUCUGCAAGUUCAACCUCAUUGGUCCCCCAGUACGUGCGCUGCUAGCCCUCUUGUUCUUCAUGAUUUCCACUUCCGUGGCUUUCUCAACCAAAGACUAGAAGCGCAUGAUUCCCAACGGUUUCACCGAGUCCUCAAUGUCAGGCCUCAGCCCAUUCACAAAGCGUUUGCACAUGUAGGGUUCAUCAACCCCAUUGCGGAAGAAUCGGAAGUGUUUGGCCAACGAUUCCAGCUUAGCAGCAUAUUCCGGAAUGGACAUACUCCCCUGUCGAAGAGUCAGAAACUGUGCCUCACGCUCGUCACGAGCACUAUCUGGAAAGUACUUCUCCAGAAAAGCAGCACGAAAUGAAGCCCAGUUCACUUCCACAUUAUUCGCUUCCAUCAUUCCUCUGGCGCCCCUCCACCAGUAUUCAGCAUCUCCCAGCAGCAGAAAGGUUGCCAUGCCCACCUUGGCACCCUCAGCAAUUUGCAACACGCCAAAUAUCUUCUCAAUUUCCUGGAUCCAGAGAUCCGCUUUGUCCGGGUCAGUACCACCCGAGAACUUUGGUGGGUCUUGCCUCCUGAAGUCAUUCAGGCCUUUGUUCUGGUCCAGUGUCACUUCCCUCUGACGUUGAUGCUGAUCGCGUGCCUCCUCAGCAGCACGCCUCAUAGCAUUAUCGUUCGCCUGUGCAGUCACAGUUUGGGCCAUAGUGGCCAUCAUCUCAGCUAAUUGGUUAGCGUUCACCAUGUUCUGUUAAGUCGAACAAACAGUUAGUACUCAUCAUAAGAUAGCAUCUAACAUAACUAUGCAAUAUGAUUAAGCAAUAACUUCAAUCAAUUCUAAGCGAAAAAAUCGCUUGCAGACAAUCAAUUUUUUACUCUUUACAGAGUCACACAACCUAGCACAGAAGACCUAUUCCCCAACAAGCUCUGGUAAUCUCAACCGGAGCUCUGAUACCACAAUGUAACACCCCAACUUUUGGGGUCACAAUUAGUAACCUAUUAAAUAAAAUGGAAUUAUUUUCCAACAAGGAUUUAAUAAAAGUGGGUAUAUUUUUUUUUCGUUUGCUUUCUUUCCAAAACAUUUCCAAAACCUGAUAUGUAUACUCUUACCCAAACCCUUAAAUCCGGCCUUGACAAGGCAAGCACCCGUGAGUGACGACGGAUGUUCAAGACGUAUAAAAUAUACAGUGAAGUAAUAUCUUAACCGACAACAAAGUUCAAAAUGUGAUAACACCCUAAGUCCAAUAUACUUCCUACAAUCCCCUCACUGGAGAUUCGCAGAAGAGUAAUGCAUCGGAACCUACCCAAGACCAAAGUAAGUAUUACAAUCUUCCUUACGAGCUUCAACCAAUGACGGUAAGCUUCUCUACCCAAGGCUCUAGCCUUACAUCUAACUAUUAUUUUACAAGUCUUUGGUUGGUUCACUCACUCCAAGCAAAUCUUCUCGUCAAUCAGCCCAAUCACCUUCUUGCAGCAAUCAACAGCUACUCGAAGCAACACCUAUUAGGGCCUGGCAGUUUGCCGACCGCCCAAACACAAACAAAGCAAACAAGGCAGAAAGGGUCAACUUCCUAGAGUAAUGUAAUAUAAGUCCUAGCUAGAUUUAACAUAGUUAAAUAGCUUGUGAAUAAUAAUUAGACACAGCAUAAGUCGAUCUCUAUACUUUGAACGUCAAGUCAUCAGUCCAUCACUCGCCGCCUGCGCCUAGAUGUAUCUUCAUUCCCUUGCCAGGGCAGCGUCACGUCUCACUAAAGGAAACGCACGACUCAGCGGUCAAUCAUCUAGCACGAUGAGCUCUAUACUCUCUAAUCAACAAACAGAUAACAGGAUCAAGGACUAUCCCCUUAAUCGAUCCAAAUGAUAGGAGUUAAGGUCUAACCUCUUAGGAAAAAUAACAAAUAGUACGACUAAGGUCAAUCCUCUAAAUCAACUAACACAUAAUAGGAUUAAGGUCCAGCCACUUCAAUCCAAGGUCAAAUAAUAUGAUUAAGGUCCAACCACUUUAAUCAAAUAGCAAAGAAUAGGAUUAAGGUCCAGCCACU